CUCGCCAAGGAGCGUUGCAGCAGAGCUGUGCAUCGAAUGGCCGUGUGCGCUGCCCUGUCUGGCUUGGCGGCUUGCCCUUUUGCAACGACGCUCGCCUGCU
rnacentral:ncRNA from 2 species